rnacentral:rRNA from 1 species
UACGUAGGGGGCGAGCGUUGUCCGGAUUCAUUGGGCGUAAAGAGCUCGUAGGCGGCUUGGUAAGUCGGGUGUGAAACCUCCAGGCUCAACCUGGAGACGCCACUCGAUACUGCCAUGGCUAGAGUCCGGUAGGGGCCCACGGAAUUCCUGGUGUAGCGGUGAAAUGCGCAGAUAUCAGGAGGAACACCGGUGGCGAAGGCGGGCCUCUGGGCCGAUACUGACGCUGAGGAGCGAAAGCGUGGGGAGCGAACAGG